rnacentral:snRNA from 1 species
AUGCUUGCUUUGGCAGCACAUAUACUAAAAUUGGAAUGACUCAGAGAGAAGAUCAGCAGGGUCCUUGCAAAGGAUGACAUCCAACUUCAGAAACCACUCUGUAUGCAU